GAUGAACGCUGGCGGCGUGCUUAACACAUGCAAGUCGAACGAGAGAAGGGGAGCUUACUUCCCGGAUCGAGUGGCGGACGGGUGAGUAACGUGUGGGCAACCUGCCCGAUACAGGGGGAUAACUGUGAGAAAUCACAGCUAAUACCGCAAAUGCUGUAGUUGUCGCAUGGCAAUAGCAGGAAAGAUUCAUUGGUAUCGGAUGGGCCCGCGUCUGAUUAGCUAGUUGGUAAGGUAACGGCUUACCAAGGCGACGAUCAGUAGCCGACCUGAGAGGGUGAUCGGCCACAUUGGGACUGAGACACGGCCCAAACUCCUACGGGAGGCAGCAGUGGGGAAUAUUGCAUAAUGGGGGAAACCCUGAUGCAGCGACGCCGCGUGAGUGAAGACGGCCUUCGGGUUGUAAAGCCCUGUUGAGGGGGACGAUAAUGACGGUACCCCUUUAGAAAGCCACGGCUAACUACGUGCCAGCAGCCGCCGCAGUAAAC
rnacentral:rRNA from 1 species